UACGGGGGGGGCAAGCGUUGUUCGGAAUUACUGGGCGUAAAGCGCGUGUAGGCGGCCAUGCAAGUACUUUGUGAAAUCCCUCGGCUCAACCGGGGAAUUGCUUGGUAUACUGCAGGGCUUGAGGCGGGUAGGGGUGCUUGGAACUCUAGGUGGAGCGGUGAAAUGCGUAGAUAUCUAGAGGAACGCCUGUGGCGAAAGCGGAGCACUGGGCCCGUCCUGACGCUAAGACGCGAAAGCGUGGGUAGCAAACGGG
rnacentral:rRNA from 1 species